ACUCCUACGGGAGGCAGCAGUGGGGAAUAUUGGACAAUGGGCGCAAGCCUGAUCCAGCCAUACCGCGUGGGUGAAGAAGGCCUUCGGGUUGUAAAGCCCUUUUGUUGGGAAAGAAAUCCAGCUGGUUAAUACCCGGUUGGGAUGACGGUACCCAAAGAAUAAGCACCGGCUAACUUCGUGCCAGCAGCCGCGGUAAUACGAAGGGUGCAAGCGUUACUCGGAAUUACUGGGCGUAAAGCGUGCGUAGGUGGUUGUUUAAGUCUGUUGUGAAAGCCCUGGGCUCAACCUGGGAACUGCAGUGGAAMCUGGACGACUAGAGUGUGGUAGAGGGUAGCGGAAUUCCUGGUGUAGCAGUGAAAUGCGUAGAGAUCAGGAGGAACAUCCAUGGCGAAGGCAGCUACCUGGACCAACACUGACACUGAGGCASGAAAGCGUGGGGAGCAAACAGGAUUAGAUACCCUGGUAGUCCACGCCCUAAACGAUGCGAACUGGAUGUUGGGUGCAAUUUGGCACGCAGUAUSGAAGCUAACGCGUUAAGUUCGCCGCCUGGGGAGUACGGUCGCAAGACUGAAACUCAAAGGAAUUGACGG
rnacentral:rRNA from 1 species